rnacentral:lncRNA from 1 species
GCUAACAAGCUUUGCCUCUGAACAAAGUGUUCCCGCUGUCUGCCUGGCAGUCCCAUUCCCUCCGGGACAGUUGAGGGAGACUGACUCUCUGGUCACUGACCAAAAGGCUGGUAUUAAACUGGGGAGGAGUUGGCCAGGAGAACUGUAUGUAACUUUGGGACACUGGAUGUAGGAUCAUGAUGGUUCUUUCUGCCCACCUGGAAAACCCUUGGAGCCCUUGAAUCCACGCCCCAUGCUACCUGGGCAUGAGCUUGACCCACACCCAACAGAAGGACUCAGGACUCAGAGGGUCCUGGAGAAGAUGAUGCCACUGCAUCACCAAAACUGCCGGGAAAAAAAUCAUUUACUACAGCAGCCGAGCACGCCAGACAGGAGGGCACUGGCAGGACACUUCUGAAUUCCUUCACCUGUGCUAAAAACAGCUGAAGAUACGGUUGAAGAAUCUGGCCCGAGUACCUAAGAAUCAGGACUACAUCAACUACCAUAACCUGGAGAAGUUGAAUUCAGUGAUCUUUA